CUCUAUCUGAAGAUGAAUGAAAAUAUAUCCUCAGGAUACACAGAAGUGCUGUGUCUUGAGGUCAUGACAGAAACCAACACGCCAAGGAUGGCAAAGUGAAAACAUGGAAAGCACAAGGGGGCUCUGAUGAUAUGGAGUCACUGAGCAGGCAAACCCUGAAAUCUCCUAUGUCUGGACUUCUGGUUAGAGAGAAAGAGAGACAGACAGACAUGGAUCGGCUGCUUCCCAAACACACGCCAUCCAGGGCGAGGGAAUGAACCCCAAACCUAG